rnacentral:rRNA from 1 species
AACGUAGGUGGCGAGCGUUAUCCGGAUUUACUGGGUGUAAAGCGCGUGCAGGCGGCUUCGCAAGUGGGAUGUGAAAGCGCCCGGCUCAACCGGGCGAGGACGUUGCAGACUGCGAAGCUGGAGGCGGAAAGAGGCGAGUGGAAUUCCGGGUGUAGUGGUGAAAUGCGUAGAGAUCCGGAGGAACACCAGUGGCGAAGGCGACUCGCUGGUUCCGUACUGACGCUCAGACGCGAAAGCAUGGGGAGCGAACGGG